CACUGGGCCUGUGGGCCACCCAGUAUCGAGGUGCUCAGAGCAUUCAAACAGGGAACACCAACAUCUGAUUUAAAAGGUCACACUGUCUGCCAAGGGACUUGGGAAAGAGGAAAGGAAAUGGUGCAGAGUGGGGGACCUGGUGCUGUUCCCAGAGGCUGAGCAGGUGGGGGAAGAGACAGACCUAACAGGAGCUGAGGACAAGAACAGAAGGGAAGAGAGAUCUUGAAAAGGGAAGGCAGGCGGCACUCACCCCAGCAUGGAUGACCUGUCCGCAGCCCAGGAGCUGGAACUUCAGAGUCACACCACACCUGUGUGCUCUGCCUGGACCACCCACCCCCCAGAGGUGAUGUCACCUUUCCAUGACUCCGUUUCCUCACCUAUAAUGUGGGGAUGGUGGGAGUGCCCAUCUCAAAGGCUUGAGGGUGAGGAUUAAAUGUGGCAAUGCACAGAA